rnacentral:rRNA from 1 species
UGCCAGCCGCCACGGUAUGACGGACGGGGUUAGGGUUGUUCGGGAAUUACUGGGCGUAAAGCGCACGUAGGCGGAUUAGAAAGUUAGAGGUGAAAUCCCGGGGCUCAACCCCGGAACUGCCUUUAAAACUACUAGUCUAGAGUUCGAGAGAGGUGAGUGGAAUUCCGAGUGUAGAGGUGAAAUUCGUAGAUAUUCGGAGGAACACCAGUGGCGAAGGCGGCUCACUGGCUCGAUACUGACGCUGAGGUGCGAAAGUGUGGGGAGCAAACAGGAUUAGAUA